ACUUUGCGGACGGCCUCCGUGCGCCAAAAUAGGCCACGGGCACAGCCGCGCUGAAAAAUCAGCCCCCGAAAGUCGGGGUGCCAAAACCCCCCAGCGGAAAAAUGGCCAAAAAACGGGUGGGCUAUAGCCUUGGUGGGGGGCGGGGGCGAAGUUCGUCCGCCGGACUCGGAAUGGCCCCAGACUUGGCGGGCGGCCUCCGUGCGCCAAAAAUAGGCCACCGGCACAGCCGUGCCCAAAAAUCAGCCCCCGAAGGUCGGGGUGCCAAGACCCCCCAGCAGAAAAAUGGCCAAAAAACGGGUGGGCUAUAGCCUUGGUGGGGGGCGGGGGCGAAGUUCGUCCGCCGGACUCGGAAUGCCCCAAACUUGGCGGGCGGCCUCCGUGCGCCAAAAAUAGGCCACGGGCACAGCCGCGCCCAAAAAUCAGCCCCCGAAGGUCGGGGUGCCAAGACCCCCCAGCGGAAAAAUGGCCAAAAAACGGGUGGGCUAUAGCCUUGGUGGGGGGCGGGGGCGAAGUUCGUCCGCCGGAGUCGGAAUGGCCCCAGACUUUGCGGGCGGCCUCCAUGUGCCAAAUAUAGGCCACGGGCACAGCCGCGCCCAAAAAUCAGCACCCGAAGGUCGGGGUGCCAAGACCCCCCAGCGGAAAAAUGGCCUAAAAACGGGUGGGCUAUAGCCUUGGUGGGGGGCGUGGGCGAAGUUCGUCCGCCGGACUCGGAAUGGCCACAUACUUU
rnacentral:lncRNA from 1 species